rnacentral:rRNA from 1 species
UGCAAGUCGAACGGUCUCUUUCGGGAGAUAGUGGCGCACGGGUGAGUAACACGUGGUUGAUCCACCCUCAAGUAGGGGAUAACGUUCCGAAAGGAAUGCUAAUACCCUAUAAGCUCCCGAUGUUUAGAAGAUUGGGAGAAAAGUUCCGGCGCUUGAGGAGGAGACUGCGGGCCAUCAGCUAGUUGGUGUGGUAACGGCACACCAAGGCGACGACGGCUAGGGGACCUGAGAGGGUGGCCCCCCGCACUGGAACUGAGACACGGUCCAGACUCCUACGGGAGGCAGCAGUGAGGAAUAUUGCACAAUGGGCGCAAGCCUGAUGCAGCGACGCCGCGUGGGUGAUGAAGGCUUUCGGGUCGUAAAGCCCUUUUCUAGGUGACGAGAAUGGACGGUAGCCUAGGAAUAAGUGUCGGCUAACUACGUGCCAGCAGCCGCGGUAAAACGUAGGACACAAGCGUUAUCCGGAGUUACUGGGCGUAAAGGGCGUGUAGGCGGGGAUAUAAGUCUAUUCUGAAAGCUCCUGGCUAAACUGGGAGAGGCGAAUGGAGACUGUAUGCCUAGAGUGAGGAAGAGGAAAGUGGAAUUCCGCGUGUAGUGGUGAAAUGCGUAGAGAUGCGGAGGAACACCAGUGGCGAAAGCGACUUUCUGGUCCUUAACUGACGCUGAGGCGCGAAAGCAUGGGGAGCGAACGGGAUUAGAAACCCCGGUAGUCCAUGCCAUAAACGAUGUUCACUAAACGUUCGUUUCCCGCGAGGGAAGUGGGUGUUGAAGCUAACGCAGUAAGUGAACCGCCUGGGGAGUACGGUCGCAAGGCUAAAACUCAAAGGAAUUGACGGGGGACCGCACAAGCAGCGGAGCGUGUGGUUUAAUUCGAGGCUACACGAAGAACCUUACCUAGGUUUGACAUCUUACUGAAUACUGCGUGAAAGCG